CUACGGGAGGCAGCAGUGGGGAAUAUUGGGCAAUGGGCGAAAGCCUGACCCAGCAACGCCGCGUGAAGGAAGAAGGUUUUCGGAUCGUAAACUUCUAUCCCAGGUGAAGAUAAUGACGGUAGCCUGGAAGGAAGCCCCGGCUAACUACGUGCCAGCAGCCGCGGUAAUACGUAGGGGGCAAGCGUUGUCCGGAAUGAUUGGGCGUAAAGGGCGCGUAGGCGGCCUUCUAAGUCCGAUGUGAAAGUCCUGCUUUUAAGGUGGGAAUUGCAUUGGAAACUGGAGGGCUUGAGUGCAGGAGAGGUAAGUGGAAUUCCCGGUGUAGCGGUGAAAUGCGUAGAGAUCGGGAGGAACACCAGUGGCGAAGGCGACUUACUGGACUGUAACUGACGCUGAGGCGCGAAAGUGUGGGGAGCAAACAGGAUUAGAUACCCCCGUAGUC
rnacentral:rRNA from 1 species